AAGCAGAGACUUACCCUCGUACCUUUUGCAUCAUGAUUUAGCCAGUAACACUCAAGCAAAGAGAACUUUAGUUUGAUCCCCCGAAACUUGGUGAGCUACUCCAAGACAGCCUAAUAUAGGGCUAACCCGUCUCUGUCGCAAAAGAGUGGGGAGAGCUUUGAGUAGAGGUGACAGGCCUACCGAACCUAGUUAUAGCUGGUUGCCUGGGAAUUGGAUAGAAGUUCAGCCUCCCGGCUUCUGCCUUCACUUAACUGAUGCCUUAAGAAACCGAAAGAGUUAGUCAAAGGGGGUACAGCUCCUUUGAAACAAGACACAACUUUACCAGGCGGGUAAAAAUCAUAAUAAACUAAAGGUAAAACGUCCGCGGUGGGCUUAGAAGCAGCCAUCCCCACAGAAAGCGUUGAAGCUCAAACAUGCCCUUAUCCUUUAAUCCUGAUAAUUAAACCUUUAACCCCCCUAAUCCUACCGGGCCGCCCCAUGCACCCAUGGGGGUGACCAUGCUAGUAUGAGUAAUAAGAGAGCCCGAGACUCUCUCCCUGCACACGUGUAACUCGGAACGGACCUACCGCCGAACUUUAACGGCCCCAUAAAAGAGGGCACUGAACAGCAAACCAGACAACUAGAAAACCGUCCAAAAACCAACCGUUAACCCCACACAGGUGUGCUCUCAGGGAAAGACUAAAAGAAAAAGAAGGAACUCGGCAAACACCUCAAGCCUCGCCUGUUUACCAAAAACAUCGCCUCUUGCAAAACUAAAGAAUAAGAGGUCCCGCCUGCCCUGUGACUACAAGUUUAACGGCCGCGGUAUCUUGACCGUGCAAAGGUAGCGCAAUCACUUGUCUUUUAAUUGGAGACCUGUAUGAAUGGCACCACGAGGGCUUAGCUGUCUCCUUUUUCAAGUCAAUGAAAUUGAUCUCCCCGUGCAGAAGCGGGGAUAUACUCAUAAGACGAGAAGACCCUAUGGAGCUUUAGAUACCAAGACAGAUCACGCCAAACACCCUUGAAUAAAAGACCAAGCAAAAUGAGCCCUGUCCUAAUAUCUUUGGUUGGGGCGACCGCGGGGAAUACAAAUCCCCCACGUGGAAUGGGAAUACCUCCUCCUACAACUAAGAGCUACCGCUCUAGUAAACAGAUACUUCUGACCAAUAAGACCCGGCAAUGCCGAUCAACGGACCGAGUUACCCUAGGGAUAACAGCGCAAUCCCCUUUUAGAGCCCUUAUCGACGAGGGGGUUUACGACCUCGAUGUUGGAUCAGGACAUCCUAAUGGCGCAGCCGCUAUUAAGGGUUC
rnacentral:rRNA from 1 species